UGUUAAAUUAGAUGGCGACUCUGCAUUAAACGUAUUUAUUUAAUUAAUCGGCGAUCAUAUUUCACCAGAGGACUAAGAUAAAACAACUCGAUUUAAAAUGUGAGCAGUUUUAGUGGAUCUGACGUCUAGGGAAAAAGUAUUUCACUUUUUGUUUGGAGAUGAACGAGACAACACGAGGCACAGCGACAUAAAUAUGACCAACCAGAUCCCAAGUAGACAGGAACAAAUGAAGAUACAGCGCAUAGAAAGACUUAUUCUUGGUGAUCAACUGCUAUUGACAUUUUUGAAUCGGGACAAAUGUGGAGUGA